rnacentral:rRNA from 1 species
GAUAUGGCUCAGGAUGAACGCUAGCUACAGGCUUAACACAUGCAAGUCGAGGGGCAGCGGGAUUGAAGCUUGCUUCAAUUGCCGGCGACCGGCGCACGGGUGAGUAACGCGUAUCCAACCUUCCGUACACUCAGGGAUAGCCUUUCGAAAGAAAGAUUAAUACCUGAUGGUAUGAUGAGAUUGCAUGAUAUCAUCAUUAAAGAUUUAUCGGUGUACGAUGGGG